CAUGUGGUUCAAUUUUAUGCAAAGUGGAGAACUUUAGUAGGCCUUGACAUAUUGUGAAUCCUCCUAACAGAGAGGAGUUCUCUCGAGAACGUGGACAUAGGCAGUGCAUAGCCAUCAUCAACUUGUAUGGUAAUGUGUUGGGUUAAGUUCCUCAGCGAGUACAACCCUCAUGUUUAAUUUCCUCAAAAAAAACAUUUGAUGAUAAGAUAAAGGAAGGCAAGGAUGACAUCGUGUCAUUAGGCACCUUACCAAUACUUGACAUAAUGUGAAUCCUGCUAAAAGAGAAGAGUUCUCUCGAGAACGUGGACACGGGAAGUCCAUGGAGAUCAUCAACUUGUAUGAUAAGGUGUUGGAUUAAAUCCCACAAUAAACACAACCCUCAUGUUAAGUUUCCAACAUUGAGUUUCGAACCCUAAACAAAUUGUUAGUUAUAAGCUAAAGGAAAGCAAGGAUAACAUCGUGCAUCAUGCCCCUCUUAAGCCCGAAGCAACACAUGUG
rnacentral:ncRNA from 1 species